UUUGACAGGCGACCAUGUGCGCGGCAGCGCGGGAGCCAGACAAAGGGCCGGGGGAGGCGGGGGACGAGGCCGGCGGAGAGGCCGGGGGCCGGGACGGCCGGGCAGGGAUGAGCCCGGUGCUCCGCCCGAGACCAGGAACAUCCCCGCCCCCUGCCCCCGCCUUCUUGUAUUUAGAAGGAAAGAAAAAAUACAAAAAGAAUUGCUGUGGAGAGCGAGGUGGGAGAGGAUUCCAGCCAGUCGCACCUGCGAUCCCUCCUCCGGAGGAAGCCAGGUACAGGAAGCGAAAGCUUAAGAGAGUGGUUGUUUUGAUGCCUGAGAAAUGAGACCCAAGGAAUUGUGGGGGAUCUUGUUCCUCCUGCAACAGCCACUUCCCUCCAGCAGCAAUGAUGUAUAGAGGCUGCCCAUGCUGCUUGGCUGGUGGCUUCCUUUCAUCUUCAAAACCAGGAGUGACCAACGGAGUCUUUCCUCAUCCGAGAUACUGACCCUUCUUCCCUCUUCCACAUUUAAGGAUGCUUAUGAUUACAAUCACCACUCAGAUGAUUAGAAUAAUCUCUCCAUCUCAAAGUCAGCUAUAAGCAAUCUUAAUUCCAUCAGCAACCUUAGUUCUCUCUGUAUGUAACCUAAAAUAGUCUCAUGCUCGGGGAGUAGGAUGUAGACAUCUUCGGGGGACAUUGCUCUGCCAACCACUCUGGUCCUAAGAGUUUCACCUUGGAGACCUCUCUGGGUCCAGCUCCUCCUCUCUGGGCUGCCCCCGAAACUCCCCCAGGAUGCCUGUGGUAGCCCCCUGUCUGUUGUGCUCAUCUCUCUCACCCCGCUGUAUUCACAGCCUCCAGGGUGAAUGCUCCAAAAUACAGAUGCUGCCAUUUCCAUGGCCCCCUCGCCUGUGAGUCAGAGUCCAAACUCUGUACUGGGGCACACAGGCCCUCGACCUGCCCCCUACCCUCUCUGCCCUGCUGGAGACCCAUCCCCUCCUCUCCACCUCACACUAUUUGCUCCUGUAAUACAGAAUCAUUUCUGAUUCUCUUUGUACCCCUAGAGAGUUGACACCUCCUGGCCUUUGCCUGUGUCGUUUCAGCUCUCUGGACCAUCUACCCAUCUUAUUCAUCUCCUCCAGGAAGUCUUCCCUGACCUUUAAGUCCAGUUCAGGGUCCCUUCCCCAGAACCUGAAUAUACUCAUCACUGACUACCUUGGCUCAAGAGAUCCAGACACAUGUCUGUGUCCCUCCACCAUGUGUGCCCCCUCCUCUGAGCCCCCCCCCCCACAAGCCCUCUAGGAUGGGCAUGGCAUCUGGCUAGCUAUUUUGGCCACACCACUCAGCACAGAAUCACCCAGCAGCUUGGUCUCGGGGUGGUGAGGAGACCAGUUGAGCUAUUCUGGGAGCAAAGGAAAGGUUGCAUGGAAAAGUCCAUUCUCUCACAGUAUACAAGGACCUUUGCCCUCCUUCUGGUGGGUGGGGUGGGAUAGUAUAACAGCAGCAACAAGGUAGCCAACCCUGAAGGCCACUCCACGCCAGGCAUCUGCUCUGUGCUUUACUACCAACUUGUCAACCGAUUCUCACAACAGUCUGGAGACAUACCAACCGUCAUCUGCACCCCCAUUUUAUAGAUGAGGACCCCGAGGCUCCUGAGGCUAACAAUGAGCAGACUUCUGGCAAGACCCUGGGCCAGGAGGGUGUCCUGGCUUCUGUGUGGAAGGGUGGGGGUGGUGGUCUGGUGGUCAUCUGUCCGUUCCUUCAUUCAAUGGAGAGGUCGCUCCUUCUGGGGCAAGGGGCUAGGGUUGGCCUGGCCAUGGGUGGGGUUGGCCAGCCCCUCGGAAGCAGCUUCCUGGAUGCACUUCCCUGGAGCCUCUUCUUUCCUCUCCCUUCCCAUUUCCUUUUCCUUGUUGUUUGCCAGCCUAUUGUCAUCUCUCCUCUCCUUGCCCCAUCCCACUAGGAUGUGUAGCCAGGAGGCUACACAUUUUCAAAAGUAAAGGAGGGGGCAGGGAGAGCUAGUGUUCA